rnacentral:rRNA from 1 species
UACAGAGGGUGCGAGCGUUAAUCGGAAUUACUGGGCGUAAAGCGUGCGUAGGCGGUUGUCUAAGUCGGAUGUGAAAUCCCCGGGCUCAACCUGGGAAUUGCAUUCGAGACUGAACAGCUAGGGUGCGGAAGAGGGAAGCGGAAUUUCCGGUGUAGCAGUGAAAUGCGUAGAUAUCGGAAGGAACAUCAGUGGCGAAAGCGGCUUCCUGGUCCAGCACCGACGUUCAGGCACGAAAGCGUGGGGAGCAAACAGG